AUGAGAGUUUCUAAUUUGUCCUAUGAGAUUCUAUGGCAAGAUUUCUUCUUCUUCUUCUUCUUCAAGUUUCAUCAUUGCUCUCCAAGUUUAUCCAUGGUCUCCUCUUGUAAAUUGCCUUACUGUUUUCCACACCAUCACAUGAGUAUAAACAAGAUAUUUUCAAAGAGUUUUCCAUAUUUCAUCCUUAGGGUGGUGUAG